AUUUCACAUCACUAUGGACAUGACCUCAAUGAAACUGGCUAUGGUACUCUGGGUUUUCAAUGUACAAUUCUAUUUCCCUUCCUGUAGUGGAUGCUGUGGGGCACCACCUCCUUGAGGACCAAGGCACUCCAGCUGCCAGGAAUUUGGCUGCUAACCUCACACAGCUGAGCCUUCCAUGAAAAUUGCUCUCUGCCAAAGAGAACUUCCUAGUCCAAGGUCAUGUCUACUCUCCAGAGAUGUGACUGGAGUGAUUUGCACCCGGAUGCCUAGACUCGCCAUCUGCUCAAAGACUGCUCAGAAAGCCCUCCCAUGCAUUCCCCUGCUGCAUACCAGCCCACUCUGCCUGCAGCUGCUGUCUGCAGGACUUCAUAUCUAUGCCACACUGUGUAAAAGCUGUGCUUCAAGAAAUCACAAAAACAUUUUCCUGCACCUACUACACAGCCUGAGUGCGGCAUAAGUUGACCUUGCUUGCUAAGAAAUGGGGCAAGAAAUGCUUUUUUGUGUGUGUCAUGUCUGUUUGUUUUUCAAUUAAGAGAGGAAAGCAUUAGGCAGAUGGAAUGUACAUGUGAGGAUGAGGAGACAGAAAACAAGUAGCCCUUUCCAUCAAGAUAGAGGGUUUUCUGGGGUUGCUGGCUAUUGAAUGUCACUCCUGAUUUCUCUUUCCAAGGCACUGUACCACCAGCCUACUGAGAUUGUGUGGGAGCUUUCAUGGGGG
rnacentral:lncRNA from 1 species